AUGCAGCAACAACUUGCUCUUCUUUCUGAGGAGGCGACUGCUUGUCUUCUUAGUAAACCUCUCCAUGCAGAAGUUCAUGUAACAUUUCCACAUAGCCUCUGUGGGCACAGUUUUUACCGCCUCCUCGUACACAGCACAGCUCCUCUCCUCCCAGCAGCCCACCUCCUUCGCUUUGGCUUGUUUGGUUGUAGGCAGCUCUUCUACUGGCUGUGAUUCAAUCACUAAUUCUUGCCGGGCCACAUAGUCCCAAGUGACGGGGUCAUCUGCGUGCAGAGCCUUAAGGUCAUUGUAAAUUUCUCUUUGCAGAUCUUUGGCAAAGUUGAACAGCCGUGCCACUGAAAGCAGUGACACACGAAAUUUUGCACUUUUAAUUACACUUGUAGAAUUCUUAUAGAUGAUCCGUGCCAACUCGCCCGUAAGGAUUUCUUCAGCAUGCUCGAGAUUCCCCACAUACUUUGGCUUUUUCAAACUCUUGCUUUUCCUUCCUCAAUUUUUCAGCAUGCAUCAGCUCCAUCCUAAAGUAUUCUUCAUAAAGUUUCGGGCAACGUGGGUGAAAGCGCAGAGCCCGAAGAAAUAACUGUCUUGCACUUUCUGAAGAAAAGCGGUCUUCCAGUUCCCAUUUGGCCGCCAAAAUCCACAAACCUGGCUUGUUUGAAUGAAAGGCCAACAAGGAAGAAAAUAUCUUGCCAAGGUGAACGUUGGAAGCCCACUUCCUACAAAAGGCUAUAAAAGACAGCCAAAGUCGAACAUCAUCUUUCCACUUAAUUGAUGCACGUCGGAAGACACUCUGUAUCCGAUGUAUUAUAGGAUCCUCAAUCUCAUCCUUCUUAAAUGUAUAUCCAACGCGAGCUCUCCUUUUCUCAAUCAGAUCCAAAAGAUUAAUUUCAUACUGAACAUAUCUGAUAAAGUCAUCCUUUAAAAGACUUCUUCGCUGUAUUCUGUAGUCUAGUUCUAAAGCCUUCCUAAUGAUUGCCUUAAUCUCUGCGUGACUGAAGAGUCCAGUGUGCUCCAGCUGUUGUAAUUCGGGAAGUCGAUCCUCUACACGUUCCUGAAUUACUUCCGCCAUGAUAGCCGAACUCCACAACCCACCAGAGCUCCUCUCACUGAUGACACGCGAAGGAAAUGGCCUAUUUAUGCUUAAAACUCUCCCCAAGGAAAUCUUUGCUCUGGAACCUUCCCUGAUUCCCCCUCACU
rnacentral:lncRNA from 1 species